AGGCAGCAGCUUAGAUGCGUUGAUUUAUCAAGGCAGCAAUGGUUGUUACAACUUCAUCUUCCCAUGAAUCAAUCCCUACCGUAGAUUGGAUUGGCCAUUGAAAGUCACCGGAUAUGCCCCAUGUUGCAGGCCCAGACAGAUUAUAUAUGGCUGGAUGGAGGGAUUUCUUUUAUAUAUAUUCAGAACAUUUUCAACACAUUAUUGUAAAUAUUAUAUGUUUUUCAUUGCAAAGUAAUACAAUUUAUUUAGUAUUCAUUUUUAAUUGUGUU